rnacentral:rRNA from 1 species
UGCAGUGGAGCGACGAACCAGGGCUUGCCCUGGGGCAGAGCCGCGAACGGGUGAGUAACACGUGGGUAACGUACCCCGAUGACUGGGACAACCCGGGGAAACCCGGGCUAAUACCGGAUAUGCCCCCUCACAUCAGUGAGGUGUGUAAAGGAAGCUUCGGCCUCCGCAUCGGGAUCGGCCCGCGGCCCAUUAGCUUGUUGGUGAGGUAACGGCUCACCAAGGCUGCGAUGGGUAGCUGGUCUGGGAGGACGAUCAGCCACACUGGGACUGAGACACGGCCCAGACUCCUACGGGAGGCAGCAGUGGGGAAUCUUGCGCAAUGCGCGAAAGCGUGACGCAGCAACGCCGCGUGGGGGAAGAAGGCCUUCGGGUUGUAAACCCCUUUCAGUUGGGACGAAGGUCGGGCGGUGAACAGCCGUUCCGGCUGACGGUACCUUCACAAGAAGCCCCGGCUAACUACGUGCCAGCAGCCGCGGUAAUACGUAGGGGGCAAGCGUUGUCCGGAAUCAUUGGGCGUAAAGAGCGUGUAGGCGGCCCGGUAAGUCCGUUGUGAAAGUCGAGGGCUCAACCCUCGAAUGCCGGCGGAUACUGUCGGGCUAGAGUCCGGAAGAGGCGAGUGGAAUUCCUGGUGUAGCGGUGAAAUGCGCAGAUAUCAGGAGGAACACCAACGGCGAAGGCAGCUCGCUGGGACGGUACUGACGCUGAGACGCGAAAGCGUGGGGGGCAAACAGGAUUAGAUACCCUGGNAGUCCACGCCGUAAACGAUGGACACUNNUGUGGGAGGUGUCGACUCCUUCCGUGCCGAAGCUAACGCAUUAAGUGUCUCGCCUGGGGGAGUA